rnacentral:rRNA from 1 species
UACGGAGGGGACUAGCGUUGUUCGGAAUUACUGGGCGUAAAGCGCACGUAGGCGGAUUUGUAAGUCAGAGGUGAAAUCCCGGGGCUCAACCUCGGAACUGCCUUUGAUACUGCAAAUCUCGAGUCCGGAAGAGGUGAGUGGAAUUCCUAGUGUAGAGGUGAAAUUCGUAGAUAUUAGGAAGAACACCAGUGGCGAAGGCGGCUCACUGGUCCGGUACUGACGCUGAGGUGCGAAAGCGUGGGGAGCAAACAGG